AACUUGUUCAUUUUUAUCCAGUUUUCCUCUUUGUCUCAGACCAUUGUAAUGAGCUUUAGUCCAGAGAAGAUGGCGGUGUUUCUGGAUUCUCUUCACAUCUGGCUUCUUCUUUGCCAGAUGUGCUUUAACCUGCGUUUGUGGAUUUCAGGGUAAACUGUGUUCACAGACAGUGAUUUCUGGAAGUCUUCCUGAGUCCAUGC